rnacentral:snoRNA from 1 species
AAGACUAUACUUUCAGGGAUCAUUUCUAUAGUAUGUUACUUUAAAGUAGACCCUUGAGUUCUAGUGUAACUGAGAAAAUACAUCACAUAGGCUCCAGU